AUUGAACGCUGGCGGAAUGCUUUACACAUGCAAGUCGAACGGCAGUACGGACUUCGGUCUGGUGGCGAGUGGCGAACGGGUGAGUAAUGUAUCGGAACGUGCCCAGUCGUGGGGGAUAACGUAGUGAAAAUUACGCUAAUACCGCAUACGAUCUAUGGAUGAAAGCGGGGGAUCGCAAGACCUCGCGCGAUUGGAGCGGCCGAUGUCAGAUUAGGUAGUUGGGGGGGUAAAGGCCCACCAAGCCAACGAUCUGUAGCUGGUCUGAGAGGACGACCAGCCACACUGGAACUGAGACACGGUCCAGACUCCUACGGGAGGCAGCAGUGGGGAAUUUUGGACAAUGGGCGAAAGCCUGAUCCAGCCAUUCCGCGUGCAGGAUGAAGGCCCUCGGGUUGUAAACUGCUUUUGUACAGAACGAAAAGGUUUCUACUAAUACUAGGAGCUCAUGACGGUACUGUAAGAAUAAGCACCGGCUAACUACGUGCCAGCCGCCGCCGUAA
rnacentral:rRNA from 1 species